UACGUAGGGGGCAAGCGUUGUCCGGAUUUAUUGGGCGUAAAGAGCGUGUAGGCGGCCAGAUAGGUCCGUUGUGAAAACUCGAGGCUCAACCUCGAGACGCCGAUGGAAACCAUCUGGCUAGAGUCCGGAAGAGGAGAAUGGAAUUCCCGGUGUAGCGGUGAAAUGCGCAGAUAUCGGGAAGAACACCCGUGGCGAAGGCGGUUCUCUGGGACGGUACUGACGCUGAGACGCGAAAGCGUGGGGAGCGAACAGG
rnacentral:rRNA from 1 species